rnacentral:rRNA from 1 species
AGAGUUUGAUCAUGGCUCAGGAUGAACGCUAGCGGCAGGCCUAAUACAUGCAAGCCGAACGGUAAGUUUGAUAGCAAUAUUGAACCUAGAGUGGCGUAAAGGGUGCGUAACACGUAUGCAAUCUACCCGCAACAGGAGGAUAGCUCCCCGAAAGGGGAAUUAACCCUCCAUGAGAUCACACGAGGGCAUCUGAGAGUGAUUAAAUCUGAGGAGGUUGUGGAUGAGCAUGCGACUGAUUAGCUAGUUGGCAGUGUAACGGACUACCAAGGCGAUGAUCAGUAGGGGAACUGAGAGGUUGAUCCCCCACACUGGCACUGAGAUACGGGCCAGACUCCUACGGGAGGCAGCAGUAGGGAAUAUUGGUCAAUGGGUGAGAGCCUGAACCAGCCAUGCCGCGUGCAGGAAGAAGGCCUUCUGGGUUGUAAACUGCUUUUGCCGGGGGAUAAAAGACCCUUGCGAGGGAAAUUGAAGGUACCUGGUGAAUAAGCCACGGCUAACUACGUGCCAGCAGCCGCGGUAAUACGUAGGUGGCAAGCGUUGUCCGGAUUUAUUGGGUUUAAAGGGUGCGUAGGCGGUUGAUUAAGUCAGUUGUGAAAUACGGCAGCUUAACUGUCGAGGUGCAAUUGAUACUGGUUGACUUGAGUACAGACGAGGUAGGCGGAAUUGACGGUAGCGGUGAAAUGCAUAGAUAUCGUCAAGAACACCGAUAGCGAAGGCAGCUUACUAGACUGUAACUGACGCUGAGGCACGAAAGUGUGGGGAUCAAACAGGAUUAGAUACCCUAGUAGUCC